AAGAGCGCGCCGGCCACGGGCGGC
rnacentral:piRNA from 1 species